UUGAAAGGGAAACGAUUGAAGUCAGUCGUACCUGUGGGUAAUCAGCCUUUUGGGUGNNNUUUUGUGGAGUGUGAGGAGUUAAACGCCUUCAUGCCUGCAUAUUCGUGCACUUUGGGUGUAUUUACCCGUGUGGUAAGUUAACAUCAAUUUCGGUGGUCAUAAAAUGGCUGGAGGAAUGUAGCUUCGAUCUUGUAUUGAAGUGUUAUAGCCUUCGGUAGAUGUGAUAAUCGGGAUUGAGGAUUGCAACGGAUACCCCUCGGGGCUACCUGUCUGAUCUCUGAUCGUUGCUCUGGUGCCGAAAGCUUGCUUACGGUUAUCAAAGUCGAUGGUCAAUAGGUUAGAACGGGUUAAAUUCGUUAAGGAUGUUGACGUA
rnacentral:rRNA from 1 species